rnacentral:lncRNA from 1 species
GGGUUCUGUGAUAGAAGAGAGGUGCGGGGCAGAGGAGGGGGUGCGCACCUCUGAUUGAGUGGGUCUCAGAGGCCACUUGAGUUAUAUCUUGAAGGAUGAGUAGGUGUUCACCGAGUCCCAGUGGAAGGCAUUCUUGGCCCGGGCUAAGGCACAAUGCAGUGAAAGCUCCUGGUGAUGUAGCAAGUAGGCUUCAUGGGUAUUUGUAUCGUGUUACCUCAUCUUCUAGAACAUAAACUCUGGAACUGAAUCUCUUCAUUGAGGAGUUGCUGAGUUGAGCUGUGAAUGUGGAUCGAAGUGGACCUUAGUCCUACGUCUUUAUUUAUUUUUAUUUUUAUUUUUAUUUUUAUUUUUGUUUUAGUCCUACGUCUUUAGAAGAAGUCGAGGUGCUCUACACACCUGGUUUUAGAGUCCUAAUCAAGGAAAGAACUUCCCUAGACAUUCUCACUCUUGCCAAUGAGUAUUCUUGUAAGUGGAAGUGGACAAGUAGAAGUGGAGACUACCAAAUACAGGGCACUGAUGGACUCUUCUCCAGUGCUCUCUAAUGCUCCCCAGGAUGGUGCCACAGGGAUAGUGAGGGAGGGCACCUGCAACUGUGUGUGGUUUGUCUGCUUGAGAUCCAUGAGUUGAGAAUGGCCCCAUAGGUUAGCAUGAUGGGGAAAGGUAUAGGUCAGGGAAAACAUCAUUAGUAGCAGGUACAUUUUGUCCACAAAGAAAUACAUUUGUUUUUAAAGUAAUGUAUUAAUUGAGCAGACAUACAGGGAGCAUCUACAAUGGACUAGCACUGUGAGUGAUGAUAUAAAAAUGAACAAACACAAUCUCUGACCUCAAAAUGUUCCCAACACAUAUAUAAACAAAUGAGUGUUUUUGAAAAUCCAGAAGAUGAAAUGUGCUAAAGUAAAUGAGCCAAUAAGUAAGCAAACAAAAAAUAAAACAGGAGGUAGGAGCAGAAUACUUGAUUAAUUCAGUGGAUGGCAAAAUUACCUAUUAGAGAUACUGAAGAAUAAAAAUUCUGUGCCUUUUCACAUAAAAUAUGCUGGCUGUUCUCUGAAAGGAUCUGAGCUGGGUUUGGAAAACAAUAUAGGCAAUAUUUAGUUUGUUCAUUGUGCUUUUCAGAAAUGCCAUGACCCAUCCUUAAAUCACAAACUAAUUUUAAUUCUGCAUGUGUGAAAAGCCUUGUUUUUGAAUUAAAUUCAUUUCUUUUUAAGAGCAUGACAGUAUGUGAAAGUUAAUUUCUAUUUCCCUUGGAUAUGUACUUCUAAAUAGUAAAUUGUCUUGAGACUAGCAUGGGAGAUCUUUAAAAACAUAACAUGUUAGAGUUUAUUGAUAGAUCAAAGUAGCCUGGAUAAAAAUCUAUCUAGACCUUCCCUACUCAUACAUCCAUAAUUUUAAAUUAAUGUCUCUCAAUCAAGAACCUCUGGGGCAGGUCCCAGGAUUCUGUACUAGAUGCCAGUUCUGAAGAUGAUGCUCAUGAGCAUCCAGUUUGAGACCACUGCACUACAUCUAGAAUUGAAAUACAUAAAAUUUCCCACUUAGAGAAGAAGUAUAAUCUGGGGAUGCCUCCAUGGAUUGCUGUCUUUAUUUCCGAUAUUUUUAAUUGAGAAAGAGAAUUUUUUUUUGCGUUUCUUAAAAGAUUUUAUUUAUUCAUGAGAGAGAGAGAGAGAGAGAGAGAAAGGCAGAGACAGAGGUAGAGGGAAAAGCGGGCUCCUUGUAGGGAACCCGAUGCGGGAUUUCCUUGUAGGGAACCCGAUGCGGGAUUGAUCCAGGACUCCGGGAUCUUGCCCUGAGAGGAAGACAGAUGCUCAACCCCUGAGCCACCCAGGCGUCCCAGAAAAUUUUCUUUCUUAAUGUAUUUCUGAAAGUAGAAGAGAGUGGUGUCCACAAAUCUUUGGAGCGUUCUAAGAGAAUCACAAUCAUAGGUAAGGUUAUGCUGCUUUCCUUCCUCAUCUCACCUGUGCGAUUCAUUCUCUGUCCUCUUCUUCUCUGCAGUGGGCUCCAGGCAGCUGACCCCUUGGCUGCGACACACCUUCCCCCUUCCUCCCUGGUAGAGCCAUGUCUUCCCAGAUGGUGGCUCUGAGGGCUGGCCCCACAUCUAUGGCUCCAGCUAUCUUCAAGCUCCAGCAACUUGGUGAUGAUGGUUUCCCAGUAUUUCUCCCGUGACCCCACCCUGUAAAUAGUCUUUCCUUUCAUUUCUUCAGAAUGUCACCUGAGUGGAUCUGCUGCUG